GACGGAGGCAGAGGAAGAUAGCAGAGAGCCCAUUCAUUGGGCGUACCCGACUAUUUUAGCGUUGCGAUUGUGAUCCAGCCAAGCCAAAUAUAGUCGUAGACAGGUAUUUUUAGCCGUAAAGUGUGUCCCCGUUUUCAUCUGGCAAAAGCGACCUGGGCGAUAUAGGAUGUUUGAAAUGAGCCAAAAUCAGCACCCUGAGUGUUAACCUGUUAUUCAGUAGGGGAUAGAGUACAGUCAGCUGAUUUAACCGUCAUACCCAGAGAGACACAACUGUACAGAGUAAAUACCACUGCUCACAGCUUCUCUCUCUAUCCGGGGACAAGGACAAAGACGAAAAGACCGUAGACCCCGAAGAUAAAUAACCUUCGGUUCGUCAAGCAGAUACAUAGCUACAACAGGGUAAAGUUCAUUCUGACUGAGUUCCACGCAAAGCUGCCAAUUUGUGCCAGACAGCGAAAACAUCUUUGUAUGAAUGUGACAGCAUGCUUGUGUUGCUGAUGGAAUCUCCUGAUUGGUGUUGCCGUUGCAGUGAGGAAAAAGCCAAUCAUGGGGUCACAACGCUGAGUGGACAGCUGCCUUAGAGAGUGACGUUACAUGCAUGUCAUAUUCCAGCAGCUUUACUAUACACACCGGAGACACAGUAAGCUAGGGAAGCCCGCAUGCACUCACGCACGCACGCACACAUGCACACACACCCUCACUAAUCCAAUUAGGACAUUAGUUAGUGGCAGCUUGUCCAGAGCCUCAUUGGACAAAUGCUGAUCGAAUUAUAAGUGGAUGGAUAGGCUGGGGCAAUCCCAGUGUUUCCCAGCUCUAAGGUGCUUAAGUGGCACUAUGCCACUGCAUCAGGAGGACACCUCAUACGCACAAAGGAUCCCCUUACUAUUUUCAUGGACAUACGCACUGCCUGCCCGGUGAGUCAACAAAGACAAGGAAGAAGCCAAGAAGCGACUUCCACUAUGUCAGCAGAGUUGCAGAGAGUGAACCGGAAACCCAGAGCUUAGCCAGGAGACUUUCCCCUACGCAUGGCUCUGUCUACACAAAACUCCUUAUCACACGCCAGGAAUAGUCAUGGACAUAUACACUCAUGGAAAUUAUUAACAGGAAUGAAGAACAAUCAACGGAUGGAAGACCUUGGGAUGCUGCUUUCACCUACCAAACAUGCACUCAUUUUCCAUGUGCUAGAAAACUAUUGAUACCAUUUAUAGUGAGUGCAUGUGUGUGUGGAUAUGUGUAUUGUCUAAGAGCCUCUUCAUCAAAUAACACACCAGAAUGAGGCACACUCCAAACAAGGCCACGAGUCCAUACAGAGGCUCUUUACUAACACUCACUGUGAGGCUCUGCAGAGCUGUUAUAUUCUCAUUUAUUAUCUUCUACACACACACACAACAAACACACACACACACACACACACACACACACUGCAUAUCGUAUAAACGGCUGUCUGAGGAAGUGUGAUUGAGUUCAAUGGCCUAUCCUCUUUUAAUGUGACGAACUGUGCUGUGGAUGUUUAAGUCCCACACUCACAUGAAUAUGCCACACAAACAGACAAACAAACAAACGCAUGAAAAAUAUGUCACUGUCCAAUUUUGGUGAAGAAAAGCUCAUAAAAAGGAGAGUUAGUUGUGUCUGCCAUGUGACAUGUCAGGUCCUCCCUUAUGCUAAUGUAACAUUCAUCUGUGUCAUAGAACGAUAAUGACUCUCAGCGCAGAGAGCCUUGCUGAAGCACUCAGAGUAAAGCCCAGCUGUCCACUCAGUCAGCUUCUCUGUCUGUACGCUCCACUGUUUCUGUCUCUCUGUCUCUAUCUCUGUUUCUAUCUGUCUGUUUCCACACUUCCAUGUCUCUGUCUGUCUGUGUUUGUGUGUCUGCCUCUUUGUCUCUAUGCUCUGCUCCUCUUGCCUAUUUGUCUCUGUCUGUUUCCCUUUGUCUAUCUUGUCUUUCUUUGUCUCCAUUGCUGUCUUCCCUCUACAAACCAUCAGGUUGUUGUAGGGACUUACAAAGAAACAAAAACUGUUUAACAAAUUUACACGAAAAACAACAUUUUCAUUUUACUCAAUGUCAAACCUUAUUAUUUUUACUUCCUGGAAAUCUAUACAUUUAAUAUGUUUCCUUAUGGUGUGCCAGUAAGUAAAAAUGUCAAUGUUUUUUUUAUUUUCUCUGGGAGAUAUGUAUGGUACCCCCACCCCCCGUACAGACAGAUUUCCAACCUAUAUGGGGCGGGUUUCAGACUAUGACUGACAAUC